CAAUUGUACACAUCUAGUUAAACAACUGUAGAAUUUUAUAAAAAGCAUACAUAAAAAUAUUCAUCAAAGCAGAUUAUGAAAAUAUUUUGAAAACUUGAAAUUGUAAUUACUCAAUUAUAAUAAAAUUCAUAUACCAUAGAUACCGAAAAGCAUGAAAAACAACACAUCAAAAAAGUUAAAAAGCACGGUAGCUCAUUGAUUAGGGCAAAGCAAUAUGUAUUUGGCCAGUGAAAGGCCAAAACAGAGUUGUGAAACACGACCGUCAAAUUUAAGGAGAAAGGAAAAGUUCUGGCUGAUGAUUUGGAGAAAAAGUCAGCAUACAAAAGAAUUCUGGCCGGUGGCAAGUAAAUAACGGUAGGUGAAUGAUGAAGGUAUGGAAACAAAAAACUGUAAAGGAGACGAAGAGAGAAGAAGACCUGGAUUUUCCGGAGAUUCCAUCAGAUCUACGGCGGUUAUCACAAAGAAUAGUGUUGAAAAUAAUUCUUACGUAACUAUUUUCAGGGAUUCAGCUUGUACACACAAGGGGGGAUUGCUAUGAUUAGGGUGCAAAUCAAGUAGUCGCCAAAGUUAAAUAGGCACAGCUUAAUAUAGAUGUCACCUGACUCUUGACAUGAUUAAACUAGCCUAACUGUAAAGGUGAAUAGUGAUUUUGUCAAAUUAACAAGGAAUUCAAGUUAAUUAUUUGACAUAUCCCUUUCGACUCUCAAAGAGCACGUUGGUUGGGCUUUAAGGGAUAAGUUUUGUGUGGUAUAAAAACUUAACUUCAAAAAUUAUUUUUAACAAAAUAAUUAAUUUUAAAGUAAGUUUGACUUACUUUUAAGCACUAUCAAACAUGCUCUUAAUAAAU
rnacentral:lncRNA from 1 species